rnacentral:lncRNA from 1 species
CCAAUUCUAGCCAAUACGUGACUUGUAAGGGUCAGUAAUCCACAAACUAUUUGGAUGGUAAUUGUGUAUUUUAUUCAUGUAAUGUGAUUUUGCACUAUUGUAUUGUCAUAUUUAAACAGACUCAAAAACACCCUGAAACCUAAAUGCCAAAUGUACAGUUUACAGGUUCAUGUUAUUUCUGAUAAGGAUUUAAUUGCAUUGUGCUAAUAGUUGUUUAAGGCUCUUAACUUUCUGUAUGUGUAUUAUUGCCAUGCAAACCCAAUAGGGUUGUUGUAAGCACACUAAUUGAUCAUGUGAAUUUUGUAGAUAAAAUCAUACAUUGAUCAGAAAUCACUUUUCUACUUAUUUUUUUGUAGAGUAUUUUUCCACACUUGAAAAAAACAUGAUUAUUUUAUAUCAAACAUCAGCUUUUCUUUAAAAUCUUAUUUUAGUAGCCAGUGCAUGCUUGAAACUAGAUGUGCUAGAAAUUAUAUGACAAUAUUAAGGUUCUGUUAUAUUGGGUGAAAAAUGCAUGCCGUUAGUGAAUCACACAACUUUGGGGAGAUUCACACUGACAGCUCAUCCACAGGCUUCAUCUCAUUCCGUGCGCAUGAUUCACAUUCUUUCAAAAGUCCUUUUUAAACUUUAGAAGUGAAAAUGUUACUGUUGGUGUGAAUGAGCCCAUAGACAAUGCUACUUUGCUUAUUUUCUAACUUUGCAGUGUAUUGUGGUAAAUUCCACUCUUCCCAAUUUUCUUCUUGGAGUUUCUUGUUGGCAAUAAAAUACAACAAAAUCACUUGUUGGCAAAUGAUACAAUUUACUGUAUAGCAUUUUCCUAUUAUAAAGCAUGAAAAAAAAUUCAUCUCAAUUCAUUCCAUACUAUGAACACAAUAUUCUGGCAGCUUUUUCUACAAUCAAGAAUGGUAUGUCUUUUUUUUUUUUUUGACACUGCCAAAAUCAGUACUACUGCCAGUGGGGUUAUU